rnacentral:rRNA from 1 species
UACGAAGGGUGCAAGCGUUAUUCGGAAUUAUUGGGCGUAAAGCGCACGUAGGCGGCUUUGUAAGUAAGAGGUGAAAGCCCAGAGCUCAACUCUGGAAUUGCCUUUUAGACUGCAUCGCUUGAAUCAUGGAGAGGUCAGUGGAAUUCCGAGUGUAGAGGUGAAAUUCGUAGAUAUUCGGAAGAACACCAGUGGCGAAGGCGGCUGACUGGACAUGUAUUGACGCUGAGGUGCGAAAGCGUGGGGAGCAAACAGG